rnacentral:rRNA from 1 species
UACGUAGGGUGCGAGCGUUAAUCGGAAUUACUGGGCGUAAAGCGUGCGCAGGCGGUUUUGCAAGCCGGAUGUGAAAUCCCCGGGCUUAACCUGGGAAUGGCAUUCGGGACUGCAAGGCUGGAGUGCGGCAGAGGAGACUGGAAUUCCUGGUGUAGCAGUGAAAUGCGUAGAUAUCAGGAGGAAUACCGAUGGCGAAGGCAGGUCUCUGGGCUGACACUGACGCUCAUGCACGAAAGCGUGGGGAGCAAACGGG